UGGGGAAUUUUGGACAAUGGGCGAAAGCCUGAUCCAGCAAUGCCGCGUGUGUGAAGAAGGCCUUCGGGUUGUAAAGCACUUUUGUCCGGGAAAGAAAUCCUUGGCUCUAAUACAGUCGGGGGAUGACGGUACCGGAAGAAUAAGCACCGGCUAACUACGUGCCAGCAGCCGCGGUAAUACGUAGGGUGCAAGCGUUAAUCGGAAUUACUGGGCGUAAAGCGUGCGCAGGCGGUUUGCUAAGACCGAUGUGAAAUCCCCGGGCUCAACCUGGGAACUGCAUUGGUGACUGGCAGGCUAGAGUAUGGCAGAGGGGGGUAGAAUUCCACGUGUAGCAGUGAAAUGCGUAGAGAUGUGGAGGAAUACCGAUGGCGAAGGCCAGCCCCCUGGGCCAAUACUGACGCUCAUGCACGAAAGCGUGGGGAGCAAAACAGGAUUAGAUACCCCUGGUAGUCCACGCCCUAAACGAUGUCAACUAGUUGUUGGGGAUUCAUUCCUUAGUAACGUAGCUAACGCGUGAAGUUGACCGCCUGGGGAGUACGGUCGCAAGAUUAAAACUCAAGGAAUUGACGGGGU
rnacentral:rRNA from 1 species